ACAAAUUAAUUGUGGCCGAGUCAUAGACCUAAUAUCAAAUGGACAGGCCCUUAGAGAGAAAUUCUGGCAUGCCGCAUAUGAAAGAGAGAGAUGGAGCUAGAUGAGUCAACGUCAAAAUCAUAUGAUCAAAACAUUGAACUCACAUUCAGAAAAUCGCUAAUUUUUCUCUCAUUCUGAAUUGAACACAUAGUUAAUCUGAUUGAUUCGAUUUGUAAAAGUGUUGAACAUUCUAAUAAAAGGAAUUAGCGAAUCCAUCUGCUAUUGCGAAAUUCAAAGCACCAAAAGAACUAAUUUUCAAAUAAAAUGCCUCACACCCGUGCAGCCUUCAAUUGUACAGCGAGCUUAGAAAAAAGCCAAAAGUUGAAAUUUCAUUCUUCACAGUUUUCCAAAGGAUGACAAAUUAAGGGAACAGUGGAUGAAAGCUGAAGAAGAAUUGAUUUCAACCCUUUUUCCUUGUUGAAAAUAUGCAGCAACCGUUUGCAUCAACAUGAUUUAUUAAUAUUCAUGGUACAAAAACUCUGAAAAAAAAUGUUAUUCCUUCAGUUUUCAGUUUCUCCAAUUAUAUGCCUGAGAGAUUAAAUUAUGGAGAUAAAUGUCUUGAAGAUAAUAUUGAAGAAAUUGAACAGGACCAGCCAGAGACAAAACAGCAAGAGAUGGGGCAACCAGAGACGGUACAACUGUUUAUAAUAUCAAAAUCCUCUGCUGCUGUCAUGGAGGAUUUUCCCCCCAGAUUGAAUACUAAAAUUAGAAACCUGGGAAUGAGGAUUUCCAAGAAUGGAACACUAGACGAAGUAAUAUCUGAGAGAAACAUCCAAAGAAAACCAAUAAUCUCAAUGUUAAAUAGGAUAUUAUCGAUUAAAAACAUAAAUGUGAAUAAUAAGAAAAAAUUUACUCAAUAGCAUUAGUUAGGAGCAUAACAUACAGCUCUGAAGUGGACAGCAGCUGGAAAAUCUGAAAGGGACAUGAUACCAAAUGAUACAAUAAGACAUAGAAUGGAAAUAAGACAUGAUAUUAUUGAUCUUAAGAACACAACAGCUGGUUUGGUACAAACAAGUCCAUAAAUACUUAUGAUACUAGGUGUGAUUUAAACAAUAAUAAUUUUGAAAUUUUCAGUUUUUUAGAUUGCCAUACUAAAUGAGGAACAUAUUCUGUGCCGUGGCUUAAAAAUUCAUCUUUAGAGAAGCUCAUUCACUGAAAGGCUGAAAAUGGGAAAAAUGAAUGUAUCAUAACUGAUCCUUGGAGAGAUAAGGAGAAGAAGAUCCAUAAAUUUCAAGAUUUGGAGGAGUUUAGAACUAAGAAGAGGAAGAGCUCAAUUCUGAUAUUUUUCAAUAUCCUGGAUAUUAAAUGAUUGGAAGAGUGAAUAUCCUCCUUAGUGGAGAGUAAGAAAUCCGACUGCGAAUAUGUUCUUCCUCAUGCGCUGAUAGGCUAGAGUCGGACCAUUUUUUAAAUUAUUUAUUGUAAUAAUGUAUUUUGAACAGCAAUAAAAACUUAAUGAAUACAAUUCUUCAUAAACUCUCUUUUUUUAAUUGCCUGUGAUAUCUGGAAACAAUUUUUUGAAAGAUUUUACUAUUAUCAAAUUGAUAAGUGACUUGAACUAAACUAGUUGGAAGUAAUACAAAAUUGAAGAAUGAAAUGUAAUAGACAUAACUGAUUGUAUUUAAACGAUAAAAUUGUU